ACAAUAAUUAUGCCUACUCGUCUUCUAUUAAUUGGAUAGUAUACAAUAAUUAUGCCUACUCGUCUUCUAUUAAUUGGAUAGUAUACAUAAUGAGCUCAACCUUCUUGUGGUUUCUCUGGAAUGCAACCUUCUCACCCUGCUAGAGAUAAUUCCCCAGCUUGUUUAUCUAAACGCUCAGCUGAACCAGAGAGCAACCGCUCAGUACUUUUCAACUAUGCUACACUAAACUCAUGCUAACUGAGGCCUACUCAUGCUAACUUAGAACAGAAUUCUCCUGAUACAACGGAUCAAUAGAGCCAUGUCCCUUCUCUAUUAGCCAUGUCCCAACAAUUCCCCCUUUUUCUCUUUGGGCUAAUAACACUUCCUUGCGAAAAGUAGCAUCAAUUAUCUUUAAGCAUAAUUGCCUAAUACAUGAAAGGCAACACAUACCAAUAAGCAAUAUAAGCAAAAUAAAGGCAAUUCCUACCAAUACUGGUUUAAAGAAUGACAACAGCCAUGAAGGAAAACCUAGCGAGCCCACCACCUAGCGAUUGGAAAGCUAAUCGACAAGAUGCAUUAUUAAAGGGUAAAUGAGCUAAACAAGCAUCAGGUUCCCCCGUACAAUUACAGUUGUUCCAAACAGACACAUUAUACAGUCCUGUAAGCAUCUCAAUAGAUUCAUUGACUGAUAAAGGUAUUCCAAUUAGACACGUCUUGAAUGGCUCUUGAGCUGAAGCGAGACUCAGACAGAAAUUAGGAUUGUGCGUCUUAUUGGCCCAAGUUAACCAAAUGUUCUGUUGCUUCAUCAACAAAUGCGGAACAGCCGUUGCACCAAUGACAGUCAAAAUAAACACCAUCAGUCCUUUAAUGCUGGCCGAGUCCAUUUUGCAGGUAUCCAUCUUGGCCCUGUAGGAGUAAGUACACACAUGUAUCCUCUGCCAAUGUAUUGAACUUCUGCAGGCCCUUUCCACUGUCCAGUUUCUGGAUCUCGAUAAAACACCUUCAUUUGAACAGUUACUUUCUUUGAGAGACCUGAAUGCACUUUUACUGGUGGCUCCUCAUCUGAUCCAAAUAUACAGAGGUAAUUUAAAACAAACAAUGUUUUCAUAACCCUUUCUUGACUGUCCGUGAUAUCUUGAAAUUUCUGCAAAUAUUGCUUCAGCGUUUGAUUCAUUCUCUCUACAAUUGCUUGUCCCGUUGGGGAAUGUGGAAUCCCUGUAACAUGUUGUACUCCCCAUAACUGACAGAAUUUACGCAUCUUCUCACUACAAUAAGCUGGCCCAUUAUCCGUUUUAAUCUGUGCUGGUACCCCCAUUACAGCAAAACACGCCGUCAAGUGACGAAUCACAUGACUAGCUUUUUCUCCUGCCUGUGGCGUUGCCCAUACAAAAUGACUAUAUGUAUCAACUGUAAUAUGUACAUAUUUGAGCCUACCCAUUGAGGGCACAUGCGUCACGUCCAUUUGACAUAUCUCAUUAGGACCCAACCCCCUAGGAUUAACCCCUACGCCUAGACCAGAACCAUGAUGACUACACUGAGGGCAAGUCCGUACAAUUCCCUUAGCUUCCUCUACAGUGAUCUUAAACUGUGAAUGUAAUCCUUUCGCAUUCUGAUGGAACACACUAUGUGAUUCUCUAGCCUUGACAAAAUCACUAACAGGGGCAGAACAUGCUACCAACCUAUCUGCUCUAGCAUUCCCUUCCCCAAGGCCACAAUCCCACAUAUGACUACGGAUGUGAAUCACUGCAUAUGGUUUUGUUCUUCCUUGAAUUAAUGUACGCAACUGUCUAAACAGUUCUCCCAAGCGCAGUUGCUUAACAUCCUUAAUCUGAGAAUUUUCUAUCCUGUGUAACACACCCGCGACAUACAGCGAAUCGGUCACAAUAUUAAUUGUUUCCUCUCUCCACUUCCCCAUGGCCCAUACAACAGCAGCAAGCUCCAAUGUCUGCAAGGAAUCUCCCGGAACAGCUUCCAGCAAGUGGUGGUGCCACUCACCACAAGCGAUCCAGGUAACUGCAGCUCUUCUGGACCUUUUUCCUGCAUCCGUAAACACUGUCUGGGCAUCUUCUAGGGGUGAUUUACUGCGGAGAGGUUUCUGCAUCCAUUCAUUGUGACCAAUAAACUGCACUAUUGCCGCCUUUACAGGAGACAAGGAUAUAGUUGUAGCUGAUGAGAAUAAACACUCACACAACUCCUCGCUAUUCUGAAGAGAGAUCCACCGGAGUGGAGGGAUCGGUUCCACGCAGCAAUGGUCGUAACACCUCUAACUGCGUAUUGGUAAUACCCACGACAGGCCUUAACCAUUGUAAAUCCCCCAUGAGUUUCUGAACAUCAUGAAGUGUCCUAAUAUCUGUGGUAAUAUGCGGUUUUUGCGGUCGAAUUUGGGAGUCAGUAAUUUUCCACCCUAAGUACAACCACGGUUCUUGUCGCUGAAUUUUUUCCUUAGCAAUUACUAAACCCUCCUUAUACAACUGACAAUGUAAAAAUUGCAAUUGUUGCUCAGUAAAGUCUUGUUCUUGUGCAAUAAGAAUAUCA